AUACUAACUCAUAUCUCUUUCUCAACGAUUUCAAUUGUGAUUACAAUUCAUUUGAUAACCUUAUUAGUUCAUGAACUUGGAGGAUUACGUGAUUCGUCAGAAAAAGGAAUGAUAGUUACUUUUUUCUCUAUAACAGGAUUCUUAGUUUCUCGUUGGGCUUCCUCGGGACAUUUUGCAUUAAGUAAUUUAUAUGAGUCAUUGAUCUUCCUUUCAUGGGCCCUGUAUAUUCUUCAUACCAUUCCUAAAAUACAGAACUCAAAAAAUGAUUUAAGCACAAUAACUACGCCAAGUACUAUUUUAACGCAAGGCUUUGCCACAUCGGGUCUUUUAACUGAAAUGCAUCAAUCCACGAUACUAGUACCUGCUCUACAAUCUCAAUGGUUAAUGAUGCAUGUCAGUAUGAUGUUAUUAAGCUAUGCAACUCUUUUGUGCGGAUCCUUAUUAUCUGCCGCUAUUCUAAUCAUUACAUUUCGAAAUAAUUUCCAUUUCUUUUCUAAAAAAAUGUUUUAA
rnacentral:rRNA from 1 species